rnacentral:sRNA from 1 species
GCCAGGUGCAGUGGCUCACACCUGUAAUCCCAGCAGCUUGGGAGGCUGAGGCAGGAAGAUAGUGAAUUCAAAGCCAGCCUCAGAAACUUAGUGAGGCCUUAAGAGACUCAGUGAGACCCUGUCUCUA